rnacentral:rRNA from 1 species
CCUACGGGUGGCUGCAGUGGGGAAUAUUGGACAAUGGGGGCAACCCUGAUCCAGCGACGCCGCGUGGGUGAAGAAGGCCUGCGGGUUGUAAAGCCCUUUCGGUUGGGAAGAAAAGUUGCGGUUUAAUACAUCGCGACCUUGACGUAACCAACUAAAGAAGCACCGGCUAACUCUGUGCCAGCAGCCGCGGUAAUACAGAGGGUGCGAGCGUUAAUCGGAAUUACUGGGCGUAAAGCGCGCGUAGGCGGCUUUGCAAGCCGGAUGUGAAAUCCCCG